rnacentral:rRNA from 1 species
AUGGUGUAUGGACGAAAAGACCAAUCUAUAUCUUCCAUCCUAGGCCGGCCACCUCCAAGCAACAAGUUACACUCGCCUCUUUUUCACACAACACAUCCAAACAGACACUCCUGUCCUUCACCAUUCCAAGUCCCCAGCUCUCUCUCCUCCUCCCAUCCCUCAGCUCCUCCCCUCCCCCCUCCUCUCUCCCAGCAAGAAAUCUUCCAAGUUCCGCACCUCAAUUCCGCCCUAGCCCAACCAGCAACCUUUGGCCAACUCUGUCGAUCUCUCUAG